GACGAACGCUGGCGGCAUGCCUAAUACAUGCAAGUCGAGCGAACAGAUGAAGUGCUUGCACUUCUGACGUUAGCGGCGAACGGGUGAGUAACACGUAAGGAAUCUACCUAUAAGCGGGGGAUAACAUUCGGAAACGGGUGCUAAUACCGCAUAAUAUCUUCUUUCGCAUGGAAGAAGAUUGAAAGACGGCUCUGCUGUCACUUAUAGAUGACCUUGCGGUGCAUUAGUUAGUUGGUGGGGUAACGGCCUACCAAGACGAUGAUGCAUAGCCGACCUGAGAGGGUGAUCGGCCACAUUGGGACUGAGACACGGCCCAAACUCCUACGGGAGGCAGCAGUAGGGAAUCUUCCGCAAUGGGCGAAAGCCUGACGGAGCAAUGCCGCGUGAGUGAAGAAGGCCUUCGUGUCGUAAAACUCUGUUAUAAGAGAAGAACAAAUUGUAGAGUAACUGCUACAGUCUUGACGGUAUCUUAUCAGAAAGCCACGGCUAACUACGUGCCAGCAGCCGCCGUAA
rnacentral:rRNA from 1 species